rnacentral:rRNA from 1 species
UGAGCUGUGAUGGCGAGGGAAAGGAAGUACCGAAGUUCCCGAUUCCACACUGCCAAGAAAAGCCUCUAGCGAGGUGAGAGGUGCCCGUACCGCAAACCGACACAGGUAGGCGAGGAGAGAAUCCUAAGGUGAGCGAGAGAACUCUCGUUAAGGAACUCGGCAAAAUGACCCCGUAACUUCGGGAGAAGGGGUGCUCAUCAAGGUGAUAAGCCAUGAUGAGCCGCAGUGAAAAGGCCCAGGCGACUGUUUAGCAAAAACACAGGUCUCUGCGAAACCGUAAGGUGAAGUAUAGGGGCUGACGCCUGCCCGGUGCUGGAAGGUUAAGGGGAGCGCUUAGCGAAAAGCGAAGGUGCGAACCGAAGCCCCAGUAAACGGCGGCCGUAACUAUAACGGUCCUAAGGUAGCGAAAUUCCUUGUCGGGUAAGUUCCGACCCGCACGAAAGGCGUAACGAUCUGGGCACUGUCUCAACGAGAGACUCGGUGAAAUUAUAGUACCUGUGAAGAUGCAGGUUACCCGCGACAGGACGGAAAGACCCCGUGGAGCUUUACUGCAGCCUGAUAUUGAAUGUGGGUACAGCUUGUACAGGAUAGGUAGGAGCCAGAGACGCGUGAGCGCCAGCUUGCGCUGAGGCGACGGUGGGAUACUACCCUGG